UUAGAACUUCUAAAGCAUUUUGGAGCUCAGGCGUAUCGAGCCAACUGUCCUCCAGGAUUCCGUUCCCCCUUCUAACAGGCCCACCAAACCUGACCUCAACAAACCACCUUCUUUGCAACACUGUGAAGUCCUGAGGGACUUUCUUUAAGUCUGCUUCAUCUUCGUCCCUACUCCCAAUCUCGCAUCGUGGUUCACCCUUUAAAAUCUCAGAAAACCAUUUCUCACCUCAUCCCUUAACUGGACCAUCUCUCACAUAAUACUUCAAAAAAUAAAAUAAUUUGAUUUAUGGAGCCUGUUGGGUAUUAAGAAAAGUUUCUUUUCUUUUUCUUAUCCUUAAUGUAUA